GAACACCUAGUUGUCGAAGUGUCGAGGAAUUAGCCUCGACAUGAAUUCUUACUAAGGCUCAAUUUUAUAGUGUUAGCAGCAUCAGGUAUUUUGGGCUUUACUUGAGGAACAAGCAAGUCCAAAAUCUAUAAAUAGGGAGUAACCUUUAUUGAUCGUAUAACCCAACAUAAAUGCAGUCGCACAAGUUGAAUAAAUCUCAAUUUGAGAGCAGAGAAUUACUCUGCAUAAUCAAUUCAUCUUAUUCCCUCUCUUGAUAAACCCUAACCCUUU
rnacentral:lncRNA from 1 species